GGUGUUUUUCAUUAAUUAAGCCUCAAGACAGCAGCAGGAGGUUGUGACGGGUUUCAUCUCGGGAGCUCUGGGUGCCGAAGCCCUGCGAGCGAGGUUGCUUCCCAGGACGUCGCAUCGCCGCCGCCGCCUCCUGCCCCGCGUCGUGCUCGCGCCGAGCGCCGCAGCCGCGAGACGUGCUGCGGGAGGAACGUCUGGGCUCGCGGAGCUGGACGGCUGCCUUACCCGUGGCUGCACGUUUGGAGGACUCCGGCAGCGGUGCUUUGCCGAGGGGCCGCCCGGGACCGUGCCGAGCUGGAAGGGAUCGCAGGCUCCAGGCCCGUUUCCCAGACGGAUGCAGGCACCUGGCAAGCAUCGGGAGGAGCAAAGAGGAAGGUUUCCGUGGGGAUACGGUGCCGGUCAGGGCUGGGCACGUGUAACGCGGCGGACGCUUAGCUGGGCAAAGCAGUGACAGCUGCGGUGCCGGUCUCUCCAGUGUGGCCACAUGGGCUUAAAGUUGUUAAAUUAAGUAUUCACUGGAAGGUUUACGUGCACGUAGAGGAGCACGUAAUCUGCUCAUGUGCUGUGCUGCCGUUGACUGGAAGUGUCCCCCUUGCAGUCGCUCUCAGCGCUGGGCGAUUGCCCUCUGCCAGCAUCGUUUCUCCCCUCCUGCUAGUUGUCUCCCACGGCUGUGAGCAGCACAGAUGUUUCAGCAACGCACACUCCGUCCUGCAGCUUCCAGAUAGCCUUGAGGGACCACAGCAGAAAGCGACACUUUAACAAAAACCUCUCGAGAGAAGCCGUAUUUUCUGUUCCUGCACGACAUACCAAGCAAGAGAUUCAGAGAGAAAAGCUAACAAAGUGCUUGCGUUCAGCCUGAGUGAAAUCGGACUGGGUGCUGAGUGCCGCCGGGCACGCGGGAACGGGUCCCGGACGGGCCGACGUGGGGCACCCGGGCCGAGCCACGAGCCCCGACGAUCAAACUCAUCCUCCAGCUCGUGCACCGACCACGGCGGUAAGGACUCAGCUUUGCGGUCCGUGUUCGCUGGAGCGUCCUCAGCGGCCCCGACCGAGGGGAGCCGGUCCCCUGCGAGGAGCCGGGCCGGUCCCGUGGCCACCCGGGGCUUGUGUCGCCUGCUGGCACCGCAGGCUGUGCGGGAAGAGCGGCCGCCGUGCAAGAGCCCCGCUGUCGGGACUGCUCAAGGACACGCAGGUUAUCACCUGAGCAAGUUUCAAUCGGGGCAGAAAAAGAUGUAAUACGAAGAACGUGAAGAAUACAGAAGCAAGAGAUUCCCUUUGAGAAUCUGGAGCGCUGGAAACGGAAAUUCUCUGUAGGAGUCGGAAGUAAGAAUAAUGCUUGAUUUAAGAAGUAUCAUUUUUCACUAUUACAAUGAUGAGUAUGAGCCUUCCCCUCUUGUUGUGUAAUUUCAGGCAAUCGGAAAAGAUCCUAAUUAAUAUUUGUAGUGCUACUGUGGUUCAGAUCAGGGUAAUGAGCAUGUCCUGUGUUACUUAUCACUGGUAGGUAAUGUUUCAGUUGAGAUAUAUAUUUCCAAAACUUUUCCAGGAACUACAAAGAACACUUGUUCCAACAGAGAGCUCAUAUCUCUUCCUUAAAAAUAUGACGUUUAGCAAGCAAACUGAAAAAUAAAAUUUGUCUUGCCUGUGUGGUAUGUUUUGGC
rnacentral:lncRNA from 1 species